rnacentral:siRNA from 1 species
AGUUGGUGGAAUUGUCCAUUGU